GAUGAACGCUAGCGGCAGGCCUAACACAUGCAAGUCGAGGGAGGAGCCUUCGGGCUUCGACCGGCGUACGGGUGCGUAACGCGUAUACAAUCUGCCUUUCACAUAGGGAUAGCCCGAAGAAAUUUGGAUUAAUACCUAAUGGUAUAUAGAUGUGGCAUCACCUUUAUAUUAAAGCUGAGGCGGUGAAAGAUGAGUAUGCGUUCUAUUAGCUAGUUGGAGAGGUAACGGCUCCCCAAGGCGACGAUAGAUAGGGGUUCUGAGAGGGAUAUCCCCCACACUGGUACUGAGAUACGGACCAGACUCCUACGGGAGGCAGCAGUGAGGAAUAUUGGACAAUGGUCGGAAGACUGAUCCAGCCAUGCCGCGUGCAGGAAGACGGCCUUAUGGGUUGUAAACUGCUUUUGCAGGGGAAGAAUAAGGAGUACGUGUACUUUGAUGACGGUACUCUGCGAAUAAGCAUCGGCUAACUCCGUGCCAGCAGCCGCGGUAAUACGGAGGAUGCGAGCGUUAUCCGGAAUCAUUGGGUUUAAAGGGUCCGUAGGCGGGCUAAUAAGUCAGAGGUGUAAGCGCUCAGCUCAACUGAGCAACUGCCUUUGAAACUGUUAGUCUUGAAUGGUUGUGUAGUAGUUGGAAUGUGUAUUGUAGCUGUGAAAUGCUUUAGAUAUGACACAGAAACACCGAUUGCGAAGGCGUAUUACUACCAUUUAUUUGACGCUGAGGGACGAAAAGCUUGUGGAAGCGAUCAGGAUUAUAUACUCUUGUUGUCCAUGGGCGAAUUUCCCCUGUGGAUGUCAUGUUUGUGGAUGCCUGCGACGUCGUGGGUGCCCCGGUCUCAAACAUAAUUGUACACUUAAUGAGUGAUAAGUAAUCCAUGUGCAUUUGUUAUUAUUCAUUCAUUGCGUUGUUUAUCUUGUUUGUUUUUUUGUGUGCUCUGUGUCUGUGUGUGUGAGCUUCCUCUAGUAUAUCUUGCCAUUGCUUUGUGUGUCUAUGUACGUCCUCUUCCUUCUCCCCUCUGUUGCUGAUCCUUGUCUUAGCCCUGUCCCUGUAGCCCCCUAUAUCUCUGAUGCUGCUGUGCUACCCUAUCUAAUCCUACAUUAUCCUGAUUUCCCCCUUCCUUGUUGAAUUUUAGUUCCUUAUUGCCUCUUUCCGCUUAUUAUGCCUGCUUAUCUGUAAUUGUGCU
rnacentral:rRNA from 1 species